GAUGAACGCUAGCGGCAGGCCUAAUACAUGCAAGUCGAACGGUGUAGCAAUACACAGUGGCGCACGGGUGCGUAACACGUAUGCAACCUACCUAUCAUUGGGGGAUAGCCUUUGGAAACGGAGAUUAAUACCGCAUAAGACAGUAACAUGGCAUCAUGUAGCUGUUAAAGCUUUGGCGAUGAUAGAUGGGCAUGCGUCCAAUUAGUUAGUUGGUGGGGUAACGGCUCACCAAGACGAUGAUUGGUAGGGGAUCUGAGAGGAUAAUCCCCCACACUGGCACUGAGAUACGGGCCAGACUCCUACGGGAGGCAGCAGUAGGGAAUAUUGGGCAAUGGACGGAAGUCUGACCCAGCCAUGCCGCGUGCAGGAAGAAGGCGUUAUGCGUUGUAAACUGCUUUUUUAUAGGAAGAAGGAGACCUUGCGAGGUUUGGUGACGGUACUAUAAGAAUAAGCACCGGCUAACUCCGUGCCAGCAGCCGCAGUAACAC
rnacentral:rRNA from 1 species